GCAAGAGCAUAUACAACUUUAGGUUGUCCUCAUCCACCUCUAGGUAAGUAUUAUACAGUGGACUUAGGUUAUGCAAAUCAACUUGGGUACUUAAAACCAUUUAGAGGAGAAAGGUAUCACUUACCAGAUUUUAGAGGGGUGAGAAGCAAUCCAAGAACGGCUCAAAAGUUGUUCAACCACAGGCAUUCCGCUUUACGAAAUAUUAUUGAAAGGAUAUUUGGUGUAUUAAAAAAUAGAUUUUAAAUAUUA